AAUAUUGUAUUUCAUUUAAUAUUUUAUAAUUGUAGUGAUGCCGUGAUGAGCUUUCCUGAUGUCUCCUUCAGAACGUAGGUACUCAUCUCCCCUGCCUCUGGGAGAUAUGAAUGGUGAUGUGUCUGAGCUGAGUCUCCCUGUUUGGAGUUACCCUCAGCCAAAGAAGGUUGUUUUGCCAAAGUCAUGUCCCUUCUACAGGGGUCAACAAGACCCAAUGUCUGAUAGAUGUGGAGCUGUAGGGGUUCAGGUCCCUUGGCUUAGGAUGGUACAACACGGAACAAUGACUCCAAUUUCAGUGCUCCCUUUUGGAUCAACUGAAGCCUCAGUCAUAGCUGUGUUGUACUUCAAUUUCUCCCCCUGGUCAGUCCUAUGUUAUUUAUUCUCUCUCAGGUGUUGAUCCCCCCCGCCAAGUGUGCUCCCCAGGUUUCUGUCCUUCAUGCACAUUUUUGUCUCAGCGUGUAUCCUGGGAAAUCUGAGCUUAAACAAUUGGUUUCAGGUGUUGUCUAAGAAGUCAGACUUGAAAAUGGAUUUUGAAGUUGGACCACUAGCCAGUUAACUAACUGUGGGAGCCCUGUCAUUAAUGAUAAAUGAAGAACCUGAAUCCACUGACUUUGAGAAAAUCAAAAAGGACAUUAUUCUGGGUGGACCUGUCUUAAAUGAGGACAGAGGAAGGAUGUUCUGUUUCCCAGAGCCACGGUUACUAUGAAAAUGAAGAAAUCAUUCAGAUUUGUGAAAUGAGAAACUGGGACAUUCUACGGGUAAGAGAAGAAAGCCUCAAGUGAGCCUGCGUACAACUCCAGUAAAUACACAGCACAUGCAGCCCCUUCAAAGUGCUGGCAGGCCACUGCACAUGGACACCCCACUCCAAGAGAACAAUCAGGGAAGAAGGAAGUCAAGACUCCAGAAGCAUGACAACAUAUAAAGCCCGAAGUCAAAAGUUGUUGGUCAAUCGCAAUGCAAGAAAUUCAAGAGAACAUUAACAUUCAAUAAAUUUUUUUUAAUGGAAUGACCAUACGGAGAUUACUCAAACUUGACAUGACCCUAACAACUACAGGAAAUGAUCAUGCCAAUACAAUCCUUGAAAGUGUCAUUGAAUCUACAUUUCCCAUCUAUGAGUUACACCAGUUUUUAGGCAAAUCACUUGAACCAGAAAUCUAAAAGUUAUUUGCAAUUUCUGUGUGCUUUACUGCUUAUCAAGUAAGCCUCUUAAGAUUUUUGAUAUAAAUCCCCACCUCUAACCCCAUUUCUGCUGCCAUAGGACAUAUCAGAAAUAGAGACUGAAAAUGAUAAGAAACCAAAUACAGUAAGUAUUUAAUUAACAAAAAAAAUUAAUUUUACUUACGUUUGUUUGUGUGCAUAUGAUAGCAUAUAUAUUUUGCUUGAGAUAUUUGAAACUGUUUAGUUAUUUCACAUGCCUAUUUUUGCUAAUAUGUACUUAAAUUUGAAAUUCCAUACUGAGCACAGUGGUACAUAAUUAUGUAAAUAGCCCAAUCACUCAUAUUCUCCCUUUCCACUAGAAUUGCUUUACAUGCUUUUGAUACCUUUUCUUUUGUAAAUGGUUGAAUCUUUUCUAUCUUGUUUAACUCUGACUUUCUGCUCAUUAACUUUAAUAGUUUUUUCUAGUUCCAAUGUUGUAGAAUUUGUGGAUAUUUACUAUUUUAUUCUCACUCCCCAAAAUGCAGUGUCUCAUUACAAACAUUUCACAACUUUACAUAUAUAUAUAUACACACACAUACAUAUGUAUAUAUUCUUAUUGUCUUCUUUGAGUACAUAAGAAGUCAUUCUUCUUAUAAAAUCAAUAUUAUAGAUCAAGUUACUUUUAAAUGAUUGAUUUGAUAGUAUAAAAAUGUAAUUAAAUGUCAUAUUGACAAAUUGUUGACCAGUCUUCCAGUGACGAUAUAAUAUAGUUUAGUAAUGGAUAAUUUACAAAAUGUUGCUGGAGCUUUCUAGGUUGCAGAAAGCUGCAGGAGUACAUCGUUCUUAUCCUGACAACAAAGAAAAAAUAUACAAAUAUCUACAAAACCCUAACUUUUCUGAAACUCAUCAGAGACAUGGGUAUUCAAGCCGAUGUGUUGAACUAAAGGCCAAAGGGAGACACAUCCCUUAAAAGGGCCUAUGAACCAUUUCAUCUUGAGCAGAACACAAGAGAAAUAAAGAAGCUGCCCUACUAGUUGGUAAGACAAAACAACUGAAAUUUCAACAUUUUCUUUUCUUUUAUUAUUUUAUUAUUAUUAUACUUUAAGUUUUAGGGUACAUGUGAACAACGUGCAGGUUUGUUACAUAUUUAUACAUGUGCCAUUUUGGUGUGCUGCACCCAUUAACUCGUCAUUUAGCAUUAGGUAUAUCUCCUAAUGCUAUCCCUCCCCCCUCGCCCCACCCCACAACAGUCCCCGGAGUAUGAUGUUCCUCUUCCUGUGUCCAUGUGUUCUCGUUGUUCAGUUCCCACCUAUAAGUGAGAAUAUGCAGUGUUUGGUUUUUUGUCCUUGUGAUAGUUUACUAAGAAUGAUG
rnacentral:lncRNA from 1 species